GAUGAACGCUGGCGGCGUGCCUAACACAUGCAAGUCGAACGGAGAUUUAACGCUGAUGAAGCUUCGGCAGAUUCUUGUUAAAUCUUAGUGGCGGACGGGUGAGUAACGCGUGGGCAACCUGCCUCAUACUGGGGGAUAACAGCUGGAAACGACUGUUAAUACCGCAUAAGCGCACAGCAUCGCAUGAUCCAGUGUGAAAAACUCCGGUGGUAUGAGAUGGGCCCGCGUCAGAUUAGCCAGUUGGCAGGGUAACGGCCUACCAAAGCGACGAUCUGUAGCCGGCCUGAGAGGGCGGACGGCCCCAUUGGGACUGAGACACGGCCCAAACUCCUACGGGAGGCAGCAGUGGGGGAUAUUGCACAAUGGAGGAAACUCUGAUGCAGCGACGCCGCGUGAGUGAAGAAGUAUUUCGGUAUGUAAAGCUCUAUCAGCAGGGAAGAAAGACUCGUAAGAGAGAUGA
rnacentral:rRNA from 1 species